GGGGGAUAUUGCACAAUGGAGGAAACUCUGAUGCAGCGACGCCGCGUGAGGGAAGAAGGUCUUCGGAUUGUAAACCUCUGUCUUUGGGGACGAAUAAAAUGACGGUACCCAAGGAGGAAGCCACGGCUAACUACGUGCCAGCAGCCGCGGUAAUACGUAGGUGGCAAGCGUUGUCCGGAUUUACUGGGUGUAAAGGGUGCGUAGGCGGGUUAUCAAGUUGGAUGUGAAAUCUCCGUGCUUAACGCGGAGGCUGCAUUCAAAACUGGUAAUCUUGAGUGAGGUAGAGGCAGGCGGAAUUCCCGGUGUAGCGGUGAAAUGCGUAGAGAUCGGGAGGAACACCAGUGGCGAAGGCGGCCUGCUGGGCCUUAACUGACGCUGAUGCACGAAAGCAUGGGUAGCAAAC
rnacentral:rRNA from 1 species